rnacentral:piRNA from 1 species
UGAAAAUGCUGUCUUUCUUCCACUG